CUGGUGUGAUCUGCCCUGCACUCUGGGAUAAGCCUGGGAAACUGGGUCUAAUACCGGAUAUGACCAACUGUCGCAUGGUGGUUGGUGGAAAGCUUUUGCGGUGUGGGAUGGGCCCGCGGCCUAUCAGCUUGUUGGUGGGGUAAUGGCCUACCAAGGCGACGACGGGUAGCCGACCUGAGAGGGUGAUCGGCCACACUGGGACUGAGACACGGCCCAGACUCCUACGGGAGGCAGCAGUGGGGAAUAUUGCACAAUGGGCGCAAGCCUGAUGCAGCGACGCCGCGUGAGGGAUGACGGCCUUCGGGUUGUAAACCUCUUUCACCAGGGACGAAGCGUGAGUGACGGUACCUGGAGAAGAAGCACCGGCCAACUACGUGCCAGCAGCCGCGGUAAUACGUAGGGUGCGAGCGUUGUCCGGAAUUACUGGGCGUAAAGAGCUCGUAGGCGGUUUGUCGCGUCGUCUGUGAAAUUCUGCAACUCAAUUGCAGGCGUGCAGGCGAUACGGGCAGACUUGAGUACUACAGGGGAGACUGGAAUUCCUGGUGUAGCGGUGAAAUGCGCAGAUAUCAGGAGGAACACCGGUGGCGAAGGCGGGUCUCUGGGUAGUAACUGACGCUGAGGAG
rnacentral:rRNA from 1 species